UUGACCUCAAAUCGGGUGAGACUACCCGCUGAACUUAAGCAUAUCAAUAGGCCGGAGGAA
rnacentral:rRNA from 2 species